GACGAACGCUGGCGGCGUGCUUAACACAUGCAAGUCGAGCGGUAAGGCCCUUUCGGGGGUACACGAGCGGCGAACGGGUGAGUAACACGUGGGUGACCUGCCCUCAGCUCUGGGAUAAGCCUGGGAAACUGGGUCUAAUACCGGAUAUGACUCCAUGACGCAUGUUGUGGGGUGGAAAGCCUUGUGCGGCUGAGGAUGGGCCCGCGGCCUAUCAGCUUGUUGGUGGGGUGAGGCCUACCAAGGCGACGACGGGUAGCCGGCCUGAGAGGGCGACCGGCCACACUGGGACUGAGACACGGCCCAGACUCCUACGGGAGGCAGCAGUGGGGAAUCUUGCGCAAUGGGCGAAAGCCUGACGCAGCGACGCCGCGUGAGGGAUGACGGCCUC
rnacentral:rRNA from 1 species